UUAAAAUUUCCAUUUGACAGCUUAAGAUUUUGGCGUUUUUUUUCCUCAGGUAUUUCUGUAAAGGUCUGCAUCGGAGGUACAAGAUCAAGAAUCGGAUUAAGUAACUUGUGCACUUUUGGUAGAGCUACAGUAAUGAGUUACCUGGGCUAGCAACAUGUUUCUGUAGCGCCGAGGAAACCUAAAGCGUCACUCUCGUGACCUCCACCCUUCGACAAAAGGAGGGCGGCGACACACACACGUCCCCCACCACGCACCAUCACCACCUGUAGCUUUUUUUUUUUUUUUUUUAAUAUUCGUCUUUUUCUAGUCACUUUUGAAGCGUGUGUUGGCUGCGCUAGGCCGUCCUGCCACCCCGCCCGUUGUGUUCCAAUCAAAGUCAGGGUUCAUCGCGUUGCUUAGUUGGGCCCAGUGGUGUGGAGCCGUCAACUUCAAGACCGCAUUCUAAAUUCCAUUUGGGUUCAACUUUGACACAUUUCGUGAUCAACUCUCCACGUACGGUAAUCGAAGGACAGUAGUUUUGGAAUGUGUGUGUACUCGUUUAAAUUUUUUAAAAUCUAGAUCUUGCAAAAAGAAACAAACAAAAAAAAAACACAGAUUUGGAUGUCUUGAUAAUACCGGAUGGCAAAGUUCUGGGUUUUAAUGCACUUGAAAUUCGCCUGCGGAUUUAGAUCUCGAUCUACCUAACACCCGACGGGGAAGUACUUAGGUCAGUAACUCCGGUAAUGAAAGAGAAACUUGCAGGAUACUAACGGACUUGGUGUAUAUGUGUGACCGUGUUAUGUUGACAGUUUCGGUGGGGGACACAGGCACUGCAUGGCUGUCCCCCCCCCCCCCCACACACACCUGUCGAGUCGAAAGGCGUGCAGUUGCAUGGCGGCCAAUGUGUACAGGAACAAGCACUGACAGAGUGUCAAGUUGAGAUACAAGUGUCUCCAGGAAAUCUUGACAUGAAACAAACAUGGAACAAGAAGAAGAAGAAUGGAAGAACUGAGGUUCUGGUACCUUCUACUUCCUGGUAAUGUCUUGACAUAAUAGUCUUGAAAGAUGGGACAGAAACCCUUGUGUGCACUUGAUUGAAGAUAAAUGUUCCAGUUCUUCUCUCUGACUUCAUUUCUCUGAGAAUGUCCAUGUCAUGUAGGUUGUGAUGUUUGCAAUCAUUGGGUAAACAUGUUUUGACCAAUUGCACUCGUCCCGGCCUGCUUGCUAUGAUGACUGAAGCUACAAACUAGUCAGAAAUGAGAAAGAAACACGUGGGAAAUUUAAUGAUUUAAUACAGAGCUGGAAUUGUCUGUUGGAGCCUCAUUGUUCAGGUGCUAGGGGACUUAAACCCAACCCAAAAAAAAUGAAAAGAGCCAAUGAAUUUUAAGGUUAAUAAAUAGAGUUAUUCAUAGAUAAAAACGAAAACAUAUUUGUACAGAUAACUUUACUGUCCUAAAGAAGUUAUGCAUCUGUAUUUUAAUGAAAUGUAAGUCAUAUAGAUGUAAAAUGAAGAAAUAAUGGGGAAAAAAACAAACAAACUACAUUUAAUAUAAACACAAUUUCUUUUAAUUGUGCCCCUUAUGUAUCUAUUAAAAGAAUGGAUUGACAUGUUUGGAUGUUCCAUCAUAAUUGAAGGCUAUCUGCAUCUUAGACCACAUUCCCCACAGGAAGAUGAAAGAUGGCAGCGGGCAGGGUAUGAACCAGGGGACCUUUGAGGCAACAGAACGAUUAAGAAAGCCAUACUAUAAUGUAAUAAGGGAAAGUUUAAAGAAACUAUUGUUUAAAACAUGUUACAUAGUUUUCAGUUUGUUUGUUUUUGAAAUGAUCAGACAAUUUCUUGUAUCUACUCCUGUAGCAAGGAGUUGCUUUGUUAGAAACAGGAGAAAGUAACCCAUGUGACAUUAGACUAAGAGAUGGUAGUCAGUCUUUUUGUUUU